UUCAGCUCAGGGGUUCUCUAAUUGGGUGUGAGAGUUCUGAGUGCAGAGAGCUUGUUAAACACCAAGUUCCAAGGCCUCCUUCCAGAGAUUCUGAUAGGGCCCCGGAGCUCCAUUCCCACCAGCGUUCCAGAGGGUUCUGAGUCGCGAUUUUUGUUGAAUGCUGGUUACCCCAAAAUCCCACCCAGACAACUCACUGAGGAGACGAAGCUGCUUCACCGUCACCGUGGCUUAAUAGAACCCCUUUGGCCCAAAACAAGGUGGAUGCCGUUUAAACACAUGGGAAGAUUAAAGACUGCAACUGGUCUCAUGUCGAUAGGAAUGUUAUGAAUAUAAA